GCGAUUCCUGAUUUUUGAAUAAAAUUUGUAUCUUCCUGAAUCAAAGUAGAAAAUUGCAGCCUGUGCUCUUGCAUUAUGGCUUUUUCUACACUUCUGUGACCCAUCUGCUUAUUGCACAUAUCCAUCAGCCUCAACCUUUUCAUUAGUUCAUCUGUUUGGAAGACAUAGUGAUCAGGAGGAGCUAAAGUGAGAAAAUCUGCAGGAGACCACGAUACAACCUCACUCACUCCAACUGCGCGUGACCACAAGAAGAAUUUGGGGAGCAGUGCAAAGGUGUCGCUGAGGCUGUUCCACCCAGGCAGAGCUGCUGAGACACCCCAGAGCCAGAUCGGGAGGUGAGCAACAGGGCUAUGAAACAGAGUCACGGACAGAUCCUGCUGGGAGCAGCCGCUCGCACUGCUGUACCUGGGGAUUACAUCUGCUCAGGAGGGCUCCCAGCCCGUCGGAUUGAGCGUAAAGGAAGAGGAGGAGAAAAUCCUCUUGAAAUUGAAUGUGAUGACAGGUUUGUGGAGCGAAGGCCAAAGCCUGGAGACGGCUCCAAGUGGCUUUGUUGGGGCAGACACCCAGGUAACUCAAAUUGGAUCCUGCCUCUUGGAACAAGUUCUGACAUCACUUACCCCGGUGCAGCCGGGGUUAUUCAUUUGGGCUAAGCAAAUUAAAAGGUUCUGCUUAGCCUCUCCCUUGCUUUGCUUUUAUACUGUCAGUGUAAUUGAAGCUACUCCUGGUUUAUAACCCCACGCCGGGGAAUAUCGCAUCCAGACAGCGUGUGGUGACGCAUCGGAAUAAUGGCGAAUAUUGAAUUCGGCGGUUAUACUAAUGUGCACCUGCUGAGGAGCUGGUCCAGCGGGAUGUGCACGGGCGGCUGGCGAGCCGUCAAGGCCUCGAGACGGCACGGGUUUCAUCCUCA
rnacentral:lncRNA from 1 species